rnacentral:rRNA from 1 species
CCUACGGGAGGCAGCAGUGGGGAAUAUUGCACAAUGGGGGGAACCCUGAUGCAGCGACGCCGCGUGAGUGAAGAAGUAUUUCGGUAUGUAAAGCUCUAUCAGCAGGGAAGAAAAUGACGGUACCUGAAUAAGAAGCCCCGGCUAACUACGUGCCAGCAGCCGCGGUAAUACGUAGGGGGCAAGCGUUAUCCGGAUUUACUGGGUGUAAAGGGAGCGCAGACGGCUGUGCAAGGCUGGAGUGAAAGGCGGGGGCCCAACCCCCGGACUGCUCUGGAAACUGUAAAGCUGGAGUGCAGGAGAGGUGAGCGGAAUUCCUAGUGUAGCGGUGAAAUGCGUAGAUAUUAGGAGGAACACCAGUGGCGAAGGCGGCUUACUGGACUGCAACUGACGUUGAGGCUCGAAAGCGUGGGGAGCAAACAGGAUUAGAUACCCCAGUAGUC